ACCGAAAGUAGUGCAUUUUUUCCAGGAGUACAUAUCUGGGAACCCCAUGCAGAUGCGGAUUGAUUUUCUCCAUUCGAUGCUGUGUUUACGGGUCACGGUAACCUGAAUGGAACUACGUCCAGGUACUGUCGCCUGGGCUCCCGAAAAGCCACUGGCCGGCUGGAUCCCGUUUCCCAGUUUGUGGAAUCCCGGGACGCGGCAUGUGGAGCCCCGCCUCCUGGAGCUCGAGGACAGAGCCGCCUCGGCUGGGCAGUCUGGCGGGAAAGGGAAUUCAACCCCAAAGGAGAACAGUCACCACACUCAUGGCAGGGAUUUUGCGCUCAAUAGUUCAGAGGCCCCCAGGCAGACUACAAAUGGUGACAAAAGGUGUGGAGCCCCUUGUUUGUACAGAUUGGAUUCGUCACAAAUUUACGAAGUCAAGAAUUCCAGAUAAAGUUUUUCAACCUUCACCUGAAGAUCAUGAAAAAUAUGGUGGGGAUCCCCAGCAGCCUCAUAAACUGCAUAUUGUUACCAGAAUAAAAAGUACAAAAAGACGUCCAUAUUGGGAGAAAGAUAUAAUAAAGAUGCUGGGGUUACAAAAAGCACAUACUCCUCAAGUUCACAAGAACAUCCCUUCGGUGAAUGCAAAACUGAAAGUGGUUAAACAUUUGAUAAGAAUCAAGCCCCUGAAGCUGCCGCAGGGUCUCCCAAGAGAGGAGGACAUGUCCAGCACGUGCCUCAAGAGCACUGGAGAGCUGGUGGUGGGGUGGCUUCAGAACCCCACGGACCAGGAAGUGAAUAAGCCCUGAUGGCCUCGCGGCUUCAGAGUAAAAAGUGCAAGUCAUUUCUAUCUCAAGAUGUUGCUCAGUGUAUCCUGUCCAAAAACUUAAAUGCUGCGGUGCAACCGUCAGCACAUCAGGUGACUCAACAACGCAUCCUACAACUGGCCCUAGUCGAACAAAGACUCUGCCCUCUGGACAUCCUCCUGGUCUUAACUGACAAAAUCUUGACCAGUGAAAAUCUGGACGUCGUGGAUUGAUGCCUUGUGGUCUGACUUUGUCUGCCUUUGGCUGAAGAGGGGCAUCAGAGAAGAGCAGCUGUGACAGCCAGGAGCUGGCCUGGGAAGCCUCCGUGUGUCUAGGAGCCGGCCCAGCACUGACAGGUGUUUCCUAUUGAACGUAAGCAAUUUCACAGGUCACCAACAUCAGAUGAAGCUGCUCUGUAACUGAUGGAUCAAGGCGAAGACAAGCUCACUCCGUAAUCACAUCCGAGCGCAGGCGAAAACACAAGCAUCAUUCAAGCCGGAAAAAUGAGGCAUAUCCCCUCUUCUGGGUAAUGUGGGGCCUGCUGCUUCUCGUCACACAGCUUCAGCCUCGCUUCAUUCCUCUCACCUUCUAGAUGAGAUUCAUGAAGACACCAAUCAUAGAGCCAUCUCUCUUUUCCUGACAGCAUCCAAUCCAGAGCAAACCAUGCUGCUUUGAACACUCAUCAAAAUCAUCUAAUAAGAGCCCAGAUCCUUUAAAGUCCUUCCCAAAGGACUUUUCCUGAGAUGCAAUAAAGGGAACUUAUCCAGCUUCAGGUGUGUCUGGUGGUCUGUGGCCAGCCUGCUCUCCCGAUACUAAUUCUUGUGGCUCUCGGGUCUAAGCUGCUAAGGAUCAUUCUACUCAGCCUCGACCUCCUUAGAGUAUCUCUGCUCCUUCCUUCACCACAGGUAACCCAGUCUGCUGUUUUCCCAGCCUGGAGAGCUUGCCAGAAAAAAACUCAAGUGAAUCUGUUAUAAAGCAGAAACUGACACACCAUUGUAAAGCAAUUAUACUCCA